ensembl:lncRNA
AUGGUUAAAGUGAAAGGAAAGCCGUUCCAAGUUGUCCAUGGCCUAUCCCAUGUCACUGUCUUCCCUUGGUCCGCUUCCUGUAUGAAGAGUGCUUCAGUUCAAGAGAAGCAGCAGCGCAAAGCUCCUUCAUUUGAAAACCACUUACAGCACGAAAUAAACAUGAAGGAACAUCUGAAGGUUGUCACCUCUCCUGCCAGCAUCUUUGGUUUGAUGCCACAGCUCAAGCACACUCGGCCUGCCUGUAUCAGCCCGUUCCCAUUGCCGUCUAGUCUGACAUCUGGAUCUGACAGGUCUCUGAUAUGUUGUUAUGAAUCAUAUGAACCAUAUGUUGCCAUUGCUGGUCUGUCAUCUUUUGUUCUCUUUAAACAAUUUCCAGAAGGAGUUGUUUUUUGAACUGAAGUGUUAUACCUUCACAAAAUGUCCAAUUUGUGUCAUUUAUAUUUAAUUUAUGCAUUUUGCUGAUGCUUUUUUGUAAACGCUUUGUUCACAUUGAGCCCUGCUUUAAUUUGGUUUGCAGAUAUGGAAGUCUGCAUGUAAUUUUGCAGUUGAUGAAUUUGAAUACAUUUGCUCUGUGUAGUCAAUAUCUGAUAUAUCUACAUUGGUUGCCAUUGUAAUGUCUAAAGUUUCAGCAUGAUACCAAAAGGCUUUCUUCCACAACAGUCUAGAGUAGAUGUCAGUAUGGAAUGAGAGGAUAGAACAUGUGGAAAAUGUUACCACUUUUCGUGUCUAUGACAUUGCACUGUAAUGCUAAACUACUCCACAAAAGUUGCAUUAUAAUAUUUUAAAAGUUUAUGCAUAUACUGCAUUUAAAACCAUUCACGUUUUAACUAAUGAAUACACAGCAAAUUUCUAAUAGAUCAAGAUAUAAGGGGGAAAAAAGUUAAUCAAUUAAUGCAUUUGGAUAGCUGUAUACACUAAUCCAAAAAUGCAUUUCCCCAAAUCUGAUUUUUUUGAUAAAAUGCUUUAGCAAUGCAUGAAAAAAAGAACAAAUAUAUUAAUCAAAUAACACUGAAGAACUAACAACUAUUUUCAACAUCUAUAAUAAGAAAUGUCUUACAUUUCUAGUUAUUUCUACAAUGAUUUCUGAAUGGCUGCUGAAUAUUCAGCUUUACAGUCUCAUGAAUAAGUUAAAUUUGAAAAUAUAUAAAAACAAUUAUUUUAAUUGUAAUAGUCGUUUGCAAAUUUAAUUCAGUAAAUAAAGCCUUGAUGAGCAUAAGUGAGGUUAUUUUU